rnacentral:rRNA from 1 species
AUGGAUGAUGUGGACAAUGUCCUAAAGACUAUCAACUUCUUUAGGGAGAUGAAAGCGAUAAACAAGGAAUUCUUCUGCGACAUACAGCUUGAUGAGUCUGACAAAGUGAAGAACAAGUUUUGGGCGAACGGAUGCUACCGAGGGGCAUACCAAGACAUUGGUGACUGCAUGACAUAUGACACCACAUUUAAGACCAACAAGUACCAUGUACCACUUCGGGUGUUCGUGGUUACUAACAACCACUUGCAAACUACAUUCUUUGCUUUCACCUUGAUAAGAGAUGAGGAUGCAGAUUCACUCAGGUGGCUGUUCGAAACAAUUUUAAGGGAAUACCUCACAUACCUGUACAACCUCCACAAAACCUUUAAGGAUGAAUUCACAACAAUCCACAACUGGCCCCUCAUGCCAACUAAGUUUGAGGCUGCCUGGAACACACUCAUGGAUAAGUACAACGUCCAUGACGAUGCCAUGAUGGUGUCAAUGUGGAAUGUGGUUGCAAACCCUAUGGAAGAAAUAUACGACUACGACUGCAAGAUGAACCAUCUGGGAGCUAUUGACACAUACGACAAUGAGGAGGAUGAGGAGCAACAGCAACCAGAGCCUACCCAUGGGCAAACUCAAGAGCAGCAACAUGCUCACAUGCAAGAUCAUGAGCUUGGCAGUGUUGGGAGUAAGAGUAAGACGCAAGCAGCAAAUGCAGCAGCUAAAAAGCCAUUGCGCCCCGUCAGACACGUGGAAUUCGGCCCGAAUGGCAAACCUCUCAGGAUAAGGGCGUGUGGAUUCUGCAAUUUGGUGACCAAUCAUAAGUACCGCACAUGCCCACAACGCACAGAUGCUGACAAUGUCGACAGGCAAAAGUUGUAG